ACAGGUUUCUGAUAAACUGUCACCUUGGCCCAGUGGCCCAGCCUUCUCAGUUCAGCCCAGCAUGUUCUCAGGGGCAUCUGCACACAUUCUUUCAACUCCACUCUUUGCUUCCAUGCCUGAGACAGUCCCACUCCAGUUCUUUCCCUUCCUUGUGACUCACCUGAAUGGAAUCACUGCUGCAAGAUCCACUCUCAUUUCACCUCCCGCCCUGAGAACGGAAGCCGGAAGCCGAAGCCGGAAGUGGGAGCCUCACACAGGUAAGGUCAGUCUGCAUUCACAGCCCAACACUGAAUGAUUCUUAAUCACUGCCAUUGUUACUUA
rnacentral:lncRNA from 1 species